rnacentral:tRNA from 2 species
CAGAGCGUGGCUUAAAAGUACAGCAUCUCACUUACACCGAGAAGACACCCGUGCGAACCGGGUCGCACUGA